rnacentral:SRP_RNA from 1 species
GCCGGGUGUGGUGGUGUGCACCUGUAAUCCCAGCUACUCGGGAGGCUGAGGCAGGAGAAUUGCUUGAAUCCGGGAGGUGGAGGUUGCAGUGAGCUGAGAUCAUGCCACUGCAUUCCAACCUGGGCGACAGAGCAAGACUCCGUCUCAA